UACAGAGACGGCAAGCGUUACUCGGAUUCACUGGGCGUAAAGGGAGCGCAGGCGGGCUGGUGUGUCAGGCGUGAAAUCCCGGGGCUCAACCCCGGGGCUGCGUUUGAAACUACCAGUCUAGAGACUCGGAGGGGUAAGCGGAAUUCGUGGUGGAGCAGUGAAAUGCGUAGAUAUCACGAGGAACACCGACGGCGAAGGCAGCUUACUGGACGAGAUCUGACGCUCAGGCUCGAAAGCAUGGGGAGCAAAAGGG
rnacentral:misc_RNA from 1 species